UGGGGGUCUCGACUUUAACUCAAGUACAUGGUUUGUGUUCUUCGUCCACCUCUGCCUUAGGUUUACAUCACGUCUUCUUCUGUGAGUUUAUUGGCUGGUUGGAAAGCAGAAGGAGUUUCCCCAUUAUUUGAUUACUCAAGCGCAUAUAAGCGCAUUGAUCGGAUUGCAGACCAAAUCUGGUUUUCUGCAGCGAUCAGGUGAUUAAGUGCAUGUGAACGCACUCACUGAUUAAUUGUGAACCUCUAUGAAGUCUAUAUAUGAAGUUAAAACGUAUUACUUAGUGGACCUUUAACUGGUUUACAGCCUGAAGAUUUAAAACGUAUGUAGAUUACUUUGGUGUAAUCAGUGUGUUUUGUGUUUUUUUUUCCCUUUCAACUCUGCACUCCUCUGUGUGUGUUUGUGUUUCUCGUUGUCGAUACCCGCCUCCUUUCCAUUUGUCUAGUCUAGUAUAGGGAUGGGCACGAGCAAUCGACUGAGUCGUUGUUGCGGAACUCCCUGUUUGACGAGCAAAACGUUUCUUGAAAUUCGCAAAAUUAAUUUAAUGUUGUUUGAGAUGAAACGAGGAAAAACUCCUAAUACAGUCACACCUGAAUCUCGCCCGAGUUAUAGAUGAAACUUGGCAUGGCAGCGUUGCUAAAAGAGUCGGAUAGGUCUGCAUCGGACUGUCCGAUUUACCUUUAACUCCACAAAAUGACUCAAAGUGCCCAUCACUUGUAUAAUUUCCGAAAGGUAACACCUUCAUUUUGCACAGUCACAUCAUCUUUUCUGCUGCUUCAUUCUCUCUUCCUCUCUCUCCCCCCCUCUCUCUCUCUUUAUAAUGCAUAAUAUAAAUAGCAUAAGAUACUGAAUGAAAUGCAUUGGUUGAAAAUGAAAGUGAUGAUGAUGAUGAUGGCCAUUGAGACUGAGUUGCACCAGCCUUCAUGCUUCUACCUCAUAGGUCCAUUUCCAUUGUAGAGCCCAGCUCCACUCCUCUGUAACUAAACCUACUGAAGCCCACUGGCCUGCCGUCAGUGUUUGUCUUCUGCAGUAAUACAGAUGAGAUGCCCCGUCUCGUCCUGUCCCCCGUCAUAUCCUCACAGCCACCAGUACUGAUCAGUCCAUUCCCUCGAAACUUCAAGGGUCCGCCAAAUGGGAGCAGUGCUUAAUAUGGAUUUUUCAGCUCCUUAUAAAGGUAGAAAUCCUUUUCUGUAAGUAUUGAAACAGUUGUUUGCCACAUUGUGGGUUAUGAAAGAAACCAUGCAUAUGAAGCACUUACUCCGUACCGUUUUACGCCGGGUAUUUUUGUAAAUGCUGAUUGUUUUGGAUGGGUGGCGUAUUCAAGCGGUGGAAACUCCUCACAGUCCUUCAGUUCAGUUACAGUUCUUUAGGAACAUCCAUGAUUUGGAGCGUCCACAAUUUGAUUGUCCUGGUAUGAUGCAGAGUUAUUUUUAAAUAUGGACUAAAUACAAAAAAAAUAGUUUAAUGUUUAAGAUCCUAACAUUAUAAAAUGGGUGCAGUUGAAUCGGCGGUUUAGAUCAAUGCACUGGUUUCUUUAGUAGGGAUAACAGAAGGUCGCCGGUUCGAUCCCCAGAGCCGACAGCACAUGACUGAGGUGUCCUUGAGCAAGACCCCUAACCCCCAACUGCUCCCUGGGCGCUGAGGAUUGGGCUGCCCACCACUCUGGGCAAGUGUGCUCACUGCCCCCUAGAGUGUGUGUGUGCGCUCACUAGUGUGUAUGUGGUGUUUCACUGCACGGAUGGGUUAAAUGCGGAGGUGAAAUUUCCCCGUUGUGGGACUAAUAAGGGCUUCUUAAUCUUUAUGUGACUAAUAAACAGAUAUUCGUUUAAUUUCUGAAAAGGGGGAAAAAAAGACCAAUAAAUAAAAGACCGACUUCGGCCGAAAUGAAUGUACAGCUGUAAGCUUGCCUUUUUAGGUGACCGCACUGCCAACCCUACAAGGAAACGGUGCCAUUCAGAUGAACUAACUAGUUACACUACAGGUAGCCAGUACAGCGUUGGAGCCUUUCAUCUUCAGUGGACGACGUGCCAACAUUUUACUUGGUCAGGAAAAUAUAUUUUCAUGUUUUCUGGCCGUAGCCACCUCUGAUUACUCGAUCAGGUCCUUAAAAACAUGUUACUGACAAAACUCUGAUAAUAAGGCUUUCAUUAUUUAUUGUAGCAAAUACUUGUACUUACAUGCAAUUCAAGCAUUUUAAAGUUCUGUUAGGAAUUAAAAUGGCCUUUUCACCUAAUUGCUGACCUGCCAGCUUACGGACAUGACUUAAUGUGGCAACAAGCAGUCAAACUAGUUUUAUUAACUCGUUCAAAGUAUUUAUUUAGAUUGAGUAAAACUUGUAAAUGUACUUGUUUUCACAUUAAGUCAUGUUUUUGGUUGAACUCAUUUUUUUUUCCUGUGAUGAAACCCAGAGAGUGGUUGCAGUGCUGGAUUACUUGCCCCUCAAAUGACUCAUUGCUUGAAUGCCUGAACGCAUCCCUAAUUUUUACCACAUACUCAGGCCGGGCAAUAUGACGGUGUCUAUUGUUAUUGUGAUAAAGUACAUGACAGUAUGUCACGCGUCAUUGUGGCUAUUCUAAGCACUUGCACCCUGAAGCCUUAUUACAAAGAGAGCAUCGUUAGUCCUGUUUAAUUGCAUUUAGUGCAGCACAGUUUGUGAGAUUGUUAAGUAAAAAUAAAUUGCGCGUUUUUAUAAGUAUUAUUUCAAAUGUGGCUUCUUUUUUUUUUGGCCGUUAAACGUCUGAUCGUUUAUAAAUUUGAUAAUCCACAUUGUAGUUUUGCCGUAUCGCCCACUACUGCCUUUAGCAUAUAUUAAACCUUUAUGCCUUUGAUGCAUGAAUGCUUUGUUUUCAGUGUCCACUUUGAAGUUGUGCUAUCAAAGUCUGUCCCUUUUCUCCGUCCUUCACUAAAACAGGACGGGGUGGAAAUUCUGUUAUUCCAAAACAAUAAAACGUACAGGUAGCGAAAAUACCCUGUGAUAAAACGGUGACUUUCUAUGCUGUUGCUUCAUAUUCGGCAUUGCAUAUGUAACCCAAACUCACAGAAAUGACGAUGUGGCUGUGCUGUUCCAGAACUUUCAGAGAAAGCAGUACAAGGAAUAAUAAUAAUAAUAAUAAUAAUAAUAGUAAUAAAUGAACGCUGCUUAUUCAGAAAUGGAAAUUCAGUAUUGCUUUGUGCUUUACACAGUGACUGAUAACCCAGGAGCUUGGUUACAAACUAAUAUACUCAAAACAGUCUCUUCAUUUUACACUGCAGUCGUGAAUGCCCUUUGAGCUUUGACGUUUUUGCUCCUGAACGUGCUGAAAAUGCUGUUUGCUGUGUUGACUCCGCAUUUGAUUCCAGCAGGUUGACUCAGGAAUGGGUAGAAAAAGCAGGAGAAUGGAUAGAGAGAGAGAAAAGAGAGAGCGCACGCAACACUAAGAGCGUGCGCUGUCCUCUCUGUGCGAUCAAACACACUGUCGAGCCAAGUGUGUGCUUUCUCACUCGCUCUCUCCUUCAUGAUGCCUGGUCCAUGCCUAAGUUGAAAAACAGACUGACUCAAGUGUCAGGGACAAAACAAGUUGGCCAUCCUCACAUACUAAGAGAGGGAGAGAGUGAACUUUAACGAACGAGAUUAAGGCCGGUAUGGGCCGUUUUGAGAGCGGUUGGUCAGCCUUCUGCUUUCGUUCUCUCUCCGUCCAUCUUGGUUUGUUACUCAUCAGAAAAGAGGGAUGGAAAUAGUGUCGAAGCUCUUCGCAAGGAGCGCCUCCGCGUAAAACGAUGCUUAAAGGUUCUGCUUUAUUGGAAAAAGAAAAGUUGUUUUUAUUUUCAUUUUAUUUGCCAUUUUUGUGAAGAACAACAAUAUGGAAAACAUCCAAAUAACUUCUCCGCCGUGGGUUGCUGUGAUUUUGCUGUAAUGCUCUGUACUUUUCGUUGUUUUUAAAGAGUGGAUACGUAAACCCAUGAUAAGACCGAAGCCUCUGUUUGUUCUUGUAUUUUGUACCGAGUCCACUCCGGGUCCAGAAAUAGAAACCCAAUGAUUAUCAAUGGAGAAAAACACCAUGUCCUGCCUGCAUGAUUAUAACUGAGGUGCUUUAAAAAUGGAACACGAUGGAAAGAGCUUUGUUAAUGUACCCUUUUAAGUCAUCUCUUUGGGAGAACCCAAAAGAAAACGAAAAGAAAUAUACUAUUUUUGUGUUUUUAGUUUGUUUUAUUUAUUUUUUUUUGUGUGUGUGCAAACCUGCAUUGGAUUGUCGUAUGUCUUGGAAAUAUAUCUUUAUAUCAUUUAAAUGAUUUGGUUCAAAUUAAAAUGCUCUGGAAAGCUUGAUAAUAAAUGAAAUAUCAAAAAGAAUGUCUAUAGCUGAAUAAGCACAAGGGUUACUUUGCACAGAUCCAUCUAGAACCAGGCAGGUCAGGGAUUUCCAUUAAAAAAAAAAAACAACUUAAAAAAUGUCUCAUUGUUAAACGCAACUUUUAGGUAAGAAUUUUUAAAGUUUGCCCCAGCAGGCUAUAAACUCAAUGUUCAAAGCUGAUAUAUGAUACAAAAGCUGAAAUUUGGACAAUGAACAGAACAUUUUUGUUUUAAAUGAACUGUUUUAAACUUCCCACUCCAGGUUAAUUAACCGAAGGUUACUUUUUUAUGCUAAAAUUAUUGUAAAACCCAUUUCCUGAGGCAUUGCUGACCCUAAGCCUAAUAAUAAUAAAUAUACAUAAUUCUCAUCCUUUUUUGAAAAGUGAUAAAUUCUUCCAGUACUAGUUGGUUGCUGUAUUAUAAGACCCCUGUGUAGUGUUAUGAAAUUUCUGCAGUCGUCCUUUAAGCACUUGCGCUCAUUAUAAACUGGUUUGUAACCCUCCGAGGCAAAUUUUAAAAAUUCAUUUCUGAAUUUUGUGUGAUUGUUUAAAUGAAAUAAAAAAAAAAAAUCAUAA